CUCCUCUGGACUCACACCAUAUGCCUUAGCAUGUCUCCAGGAGAAUCCACUCCUUGAUCUUCCAAUGCACAGGGUGGGAGAGACUCUACUUCCUCCACACCUACCCAGAGGAUCAGGGACUUUAGAGAAGCAGGAAGCCUGACUGCCAGUGAAUGCUGAGGUCACCUGCCACUGCUUCCACUGCCUGUGCAUUUCUUUCUUACUCCUCAGUGUGAGGAGCAGAUCUGUGCUCAGCCAGGCCAUUUUCCAGCCUACCUUGCUCAAUUUCC